rfam:Danio rerio chromosome 4, GRCz11 reference primary assembly.
CCUUCGAUAGCUCAGUUGGUAGAGCGGAGGACUGUAGGUGGGAUAAUGGCAAUCCUUAGGUCGCUGGUUCGACUCCGGCUCGAAGGA